ACUUGACUUAACAUCCCUGUGAAUAAUUGGAGGAUCAGCAAGUUCAUGAAGAUAAGCUAAUCCUCUUGCUGAACCCAGUGCAAUUCGAAGUCUCCUCCUCCAGUCUAGUAGUACCCCAUUCUUUCCUGAGAGGCUUUCUCUUAGUGUUCCAUUUGGUACAAAUUCAUAUACCAGCAUCUGCUCCCCUUGAUCAAAGCAAAAACCUACUAGCCCUACCAAGUUUUUGUGAUGAACCCUGGACAGCAACUCAAUCUCUGUCUUGAAUUCAAGUCCACCUUGCAUUGAUCCUUGCUGUGCUCUCUUGAUUGCAACCGCUUGUCCUCCCGGAAGCAUUCCUCUGUAGACCUGAGUAGAUAGGUAAAAAUGUCAUCUGCAUAUGUCCUGUAAUUAGAGAAGUUUGACAUAGGAUAGCCAAUAUGUUACCUUUCCAUACCCUCCAGAUCCAAUUUCAUUAGAUACUGCAAAGUUAUUGGUGCAUUGUUUCAGUUCAUCAUAAGAAAACCAUCGUGCUCCCUUCAGUUGUGGUGCAUCACCACUUUCAUCACCACUGCGUGCCCAUGAUGCUGAAAUUACAAGAUGAGUUGUAAAUGAUAGAUGCUUUCCUGGUACUUUUCUUGGAUGCAGACUGAAGCACUACCGACAGUCUCGGUUUAGCUAGUUUAUUCAGUUAUAUUAUAUUUCUUGUAUGUUUGUCUUAGAAUCUAGCAUGUAUUCCUAGCCAUGUAUCAAAACUGAUGAUGGCACUUUCAGCAUCCCCUUGUAUCUGCAGAGUGCUUUUUAUUUUGACAACUGGAAUAAGGAACACUUACCAAAAGGUCUGCUUAGUUGAAUGGCCCUUUGAGCAUGUUUCCUUUGUCUCAAGGCAUAGAUUACUACAAGAAGAAGUCCAAUAAUCAGAAGGGCACAACCAACUGCUAUUCCAAUGAUCAAGCCAAUACUCAGUGCUGAUUUUACUUCAGUGCCUAGAAAUGACUUCUUUGGGUUAGUCUAGGCGAUGAUCUUGAAUUAUAUAUGUACACAAAGGAUUGAAAGGUCACCUGGGAAAGGAUAUGGGGAUGCAAUGAAGUAGUAAGGUCCAAAAAUUGGUGGAGGCUUGUAAGUUUGAUUGCUCAAAUCAAACCCAAUCUGCAAAAUUUCAGACCUGUUGAAGUACAUUCCGCUGGGUGGGAAAAGUUUAACUUGGACCUGCAGAUAAGAGUCACUGUUUAUGAAGGGAUUCUGAAGAAACACUGAUCCAGGAGGAAGGCCAAGUUUUGUCCACAGGCUGCUUUCCAGUGAUUGGAACAGUGUGUUGUUUGUCACAUCUCGGAAACGAGGUGCCCUGAAGAACAUCACUCCCUCAAAUGGGUAGGCACAGCUGCAACUCUGAGGGCUGAGACUCUGGUCUUGGGGACACAAGUUUUCUACACAAUUGGCAAGGCUGGUUGAGUAAGGUACUGCUGGCUUUUGUUGAAGACUACAAAAGUUCGUAUUGGAGAGAGAAUUGCACACAGGAUUUCCUACGAGUCUGCAGUCAGUGAUGGAUUUAGGAAAUGUUGCAUAAACAGGUAUGGUGAAUGAAAUGCACUGUAACUAAAAUGACAAAUAUCACAUUAGAGUUUUAUUGUAGUUGGCUGUCAGUUUGACUCCGGUAAGAUGAUUAUUUUUGAAAUUCACAAUUUGUAAUUGCUGGCUGAUGCUAUCACCCAUGUCAAGGGUACCAUUGAAUUCAUUGUCAUCAAGUAUCCUGUGAAAAGUUGACAAUAAUAGUUAUGUCAGACUGAGUGAGAAUUUCCUUUUCUUUUUUGUAUGGAUUCCUUCUUUCUCUGGUUCGUGAUUUUUCAUGACACUUACACUUGCUGUAAUUGAGGAAAGCCGAACAGCUUUUGUGGUACUUCUCCAUAAAGUCCUCCAGAUUCUAUCACUCUGGAUAACAGGCAGCAAGGAAGCUUUGGUGAAAUUGCAAACUUGUUGACUAAAUUACUUGCUUCAUAGCGACAAUGGGUACCCAUUGAACUUACAGAGCUGUCAGAGAUUGUAGCUCCGAGAACCAAGCGGGGCUCUCUGAGGGAUCAAAUGUGUUAUUGCUUAAAUCUCUGAAGAUCAUGUCAAUGUCUUGCCAUUUACAGCUUGUUCAGGUAAUAAAACAAAAAUAGAUUUGCAAGAAAGCAUUUGCAGAAGUUGGAUGAGCUCUUACACAUAGUUGAGGUUAUCUAUCCCAGUCAGAUUUGGCAUUGGACCAGUUAACUUGUUAUUUGCUAGGUUUCUGAAAGAGAUGAAAGCAGGGAGUAGGUGCAACUAUUUUAUAAGAGUGCUGCAUGUGAAGACUACACGAUAUGAUGUAUCUUACAGUUCGUUGAUGCGCGUGAGAUUGUUAAUAUUGGAAGGAACUGUGCCACCUAGAGCAUUCCUGUCCAAUCGACUGUCAAAAAACGAAGAAAUUAGUUACUGAAGCAGAGCAUUGAAAAUUUUUGUCUGGUUGGUGGGCACUUACAGAACCUCAAGUGUUUGAACUAGUCCUAUGGAAGCUGGAAUUUCUCCAGUAAAUUUGUUCCCAUCGAAAAGCCUGCCCGUGUAGAAUGAUCAGGAGUCAUGGUAGAUGUGGAGUUACCAGAUUUAGCAGAAGUAAUGCAAGAUGGGAAAACAGCAGCUUACACAUGUAGCAAUGUCAUGUCAGAACUAAAAAGAUAUUCAGGGAUGGAACCUGAUAAUUGAUUCUUAUUGAAGUGGCUGUUCAGUGCAGGAUGCAGACGAAUCAUUCAUUAGAAAGCAAAUAAUACAAAAUUUCAUCUGUCAAUUCAUUUAAUCUGCAAUACUAAAUCUAAUUUUGACUUAUUUUUGUACUUUUUAGAAAUAUGACUUACAAAUGCUUUGUGUGGACAAGCUGGUCCAAGCCUGGUGAUGUUUUGGUAGAGAUUGGAAGAGACCCACUCAACUGAUUGUCUGCAACAUCAAACCAGUAAAGAUUGGAAAGCUUACCCAGGGAAGCUGGGAUGCUACCAGUGAACUGGUUUGAGUUAAGAGCCCUGGUGAGAAGAUAAAACUAUCAGUGGUGAGAAUUCAGAUGCUUUAUGGAUGUGUUAAAUUUUCUAGCUUGAAGACUCUGCGUUCUAAAGGUGAACUGAUUUGUGAUUAUUGAAAUCAAUCCUUACAAAUAUGAGAGGUUUACUAGAGAUCCUAGUUCAUCUGGGAUGUUCCCACUGAAGCUGCACCCUGCCAAGAUCCUGCGAAGUGGUGCAUAAUGUAGAGCAGUUCAGAAGCAUUACAUGAUGAAUACCUGAGAAUCUUUUGAAGCAAAUGGGUGAUUGUCGCGACAAGACUUCUGCCUUACAGGGUGGUAAUCUUCCUCAGGUUCGCAAUAUUUGGAGGGAGUGGACCACCGAGCUCACUAUUAUAGGAUAGAUCCCUGCAAAAGCUAUUUGCAAACUGCUCAAAGAACCAAUACUUGAGUUUGAAAGUGAACUUACAAGGUCUUCAGUUCACCAAGCUGCCCGAUGUCACCACUCAGUGUACCUUUGAUGCCCAUGGUUGACAGUCUCCUGAAAUAUGCAGAAGUCAAGUAGAGAAUUAAGAUAACAAAAACCAAAAAACAAGUUCAAAGAGGGGUUCUUUAGUGCUCAUGUUUGACAGUCUCCUGAAAUCAUGUGGAGAAUUGUGAUAAUUGAAACAAAAGAUUGUUCAGAAGAGAGGCUUACAGGACUGUCACUCUGGAAUUGCUGCAACCUAUUCCUUCCCAUGGUGUUCCACAAGGAUCAUCCGACUUUCCCCAGUUUGGAGGUGUGUUCUGCCACUGACUCAUCAAUGAACGCAGAGCAGCAGCUGAAAGUCGUAGCAGAAUAGCUUCUUAAGUCAAAAGGUACAAACAUAAGACAUCUGCUAAGCAUACAAGAAAUCUUUAAUCAGAUCCAAUAGUCAAGUGUCUGAUCCUUGCUGAGAAUUGUUCCUUGAAUUUUCUGUUAGAAGCUCUAUAAGUAUUUGUGACCAAGAAGGCAAGAACUAUUGGAGCAUGCAAAAUACUACAUGCAAUGACAGGUUUGCGAAACAGAAUAGCAAUAACAAAGCUCAGCACUCUCAGGGGAACACUAAAACUACUACAGAUGUUAGCCCAAGAAGAAUGGAUCUCCCUCUUCUCUGCAUUCUGUUUUCCUGAUCCUAGAAAGAGGAGAGAUAAACACAAGGAGUACAUACCAUCUUGGGGAUUUGUGCUUCCUGAACUGGAUCCUAAACUGACAAGGAAAACAGAUAGGGUGAAGAUGAGGGUUCCCAUCUCAGUCUGGCCUAGUAUAGAUGAAACUCCACCUCUUGCCAGACACAGUGAUCAGCUCAGCCUGGUAUUAGAAGCCAUAUUUUCUUGAAGUUAGUCUGCACAGGAGCCAACAACUGACUUGCCUGCCAUGAUUCUCCUCAUCAUAAGAUCUUGAAGCUGGCAAAAGAUCCUUUUGCCAAAAGCUGUGCCUUCUCUUCAAAGUCAGUCAACCUUGGAUGACCUCGUGAAACCAUUGAUUCCAGAAUGUCCAUUGCAAGAGGUAAGCAACUUAUCAUGUGCAAAACACAAUCAUUUGUUGGAUGUAGAGGAGGACGAGCUCAAUUGUCACAGCAUUAUCGGGGCCCUAGUUGGUGUUCUUUUUGACAACCGUAAGGACUCAGUCACUGGCAACCUUGGCGGAUGGUAGAACUCAUAAUUAUCAUUUUGUGCAUUUUGUUCUUUCCAUAUAACUCGUAAUUAUCAUUAGGCAAUCUCAGCUACGAGGACAUCACACAAUCAGCUGUGAUGAUGAGAGAGGCUACUCUUAGGCAUAAUCUUGGCUCAAAUAUAACCAGGAGACAUAAACUCCCCUGGUCUUCUAAGAGAGGCAACAAGGCUCAAGCUUUGCUUCUACUCAGGCUGACUGAUAGCAGUGGAAGUGACCUGAAGUUGCAGUUGUCACAUAUCCCAAGUCUUGGAUGGGCAAGGGUGCUUCUGCUGUUAGAUUGCAUGAACAGAGACAAAGCCAACCACAGUGGAGGGCGCUUGAGAAAGGAAGGGGUACAAUUUUGAAAUCUCAAACUCAGACAAAGAAAAAGAGGAUCAAACAAAACACAGUCAUAUGAAAGACCAUUAGUGGAAAGUAAUUAGGAUGUCAAAAACAAGAUAACACUUGUGAUAGUAUAUAUAUAUAUAUUCUUUUCUUUGAAUUUGGGACUUUGCUUUGAGUUUAAUUUAAGAUUUUUAUAUUUAGAUAUUAAAGAUUAACUAACUUUAUAGAGAAGACACUACCGAGAAUGGUGCUUUAGCUUAGAAUGUAAAGAAUGUAUCAUUGAUUUGUACAGCAAACACUAAAGAUUUGGAUUGGUGACAUUAUGACAAACUUCU